CAAACAAUACAAAAUGAUCUGGAGUAUGUGGAGUAGUCUCCACCCAAUGUGAAGUAGCAUCACUCUCCACCUGUUGUGAUACAAGUUCUUGAAGAUGCUCAUGGUCCUGUUAAAAUGUAAGUCUUUCUUUUUUUUUUCCUCAAAAUCUUUUUCGAGUAAGAUAUGAACUUGUUGUAGUCAUACAAUUGCAAGCAUCUUCAAAGCAAUAAUUUAUCAGGAGUAGAUGAUACAGUUCUUUAGGCUGUUUCCUCCAAAUAAAACGCCUUAACUGAUAACUUGGAUUAACUUUCACUGGUAUCUAUUCGAUUAUAGCAUUAUAAAUUUCUCUAAUUUCAAGUACAAAACGACUGCGAUUAACAUGCGACCCUCCACCUACACUAAUUAUUAGCUACACAAUUUUUUUUACUUACUUUCCUCUUAUGAUGUAGGAUGGUUUUUAAGCAGGAAUUCAGCUCAUGUGGGAUUUUUGUUGGUCUGAUAUAAAAGUAAAUAUGAAGAACAGUCUUUGACUUAUUAAAAUAGGACAUUUGGAAAAAUAUUUGGAAAGUAUUACAUUGAAUUUUCUACUCAAUGUCUCGAUAAUGUGUUUGGCCAGAUAUUUAAAUUUGAGGAUGAAUUAACCACCUGAACUGACAACUUGAUACUUUCACAGACACUGAAUCAAAUAGAAGAAUAAGAGCAGUGAGGUCCACAAAGCUUGUAUACAUAUAUUGCAGGUUUACUAUUUCAUGUUUAAUGAACUCUUCAGAGUGGAACUACUGCUGUACCAAGACUCUUCAUCUAGUUACGCACCCUUAAUGGUUAUAUAGUCUUUUCUUGCCUUUAAUUUCCAGGAAUAAGGGUGUGAUUUACCCAAUAUAUUCUAUAUAUUGUGAUUCACCCAAUAUAUUCUAUAUAGUUAACUUCGUGGUUCCCUUCUUGCUGAUACAUUUCUGUUCCACUUAAUGUUUAACUGCAAAGAUAAAAAGAAAUUUAGGAAUUCAUGUUAUUUCACUGUACACAUUUAUUAUGUGCUCUACUGGUUAGCUCGCCUCCUUUUACCUCAGACCUUCAUGCAAGUUUAAAUUAAUCUGUUAAGUCUUAUUUUAUCACAUAGUUUCUUCAGUCCUAGCUCGUUUCAUGUGCUCCGACACAAACAGUUCAGGAUUCUAAAUAAUGGGAUUUGCUGAGGCUUCUCUGUAUACUAAUGUCUAAAUAGAUGUAAUAUGUACUAAUGUAUAAAUAGGAUGUAAAGCACACAAAUGCAUACAUAAAAAUUUAAUAGAAAUACUAAUGUCCAAAUACAGAUAUAAUGUAUAGUAAUAUAUAAAUAGUGGUAUAACACAUGUAUACCUCAAAAAUGCACACAAUGAAAUGGAAAAAAAGUUGCACACCUGCUUUUGGAAUUGUCCCUGAUUAUUGUAUGCAAAUUUUCAUGUCAUGCUUUUAAACAUCUGUUUUGGUUCCUAAGAAAGUGAAACAGUGAGGUGCAAGAUAGCUGGUUGCGAUGCGAUAAAGAUACGUAAGGUUGGUAUAAAGAAGAUGAGUAAUGGGAGAAAGUGGUGGAGGAUUGAAUAUGUUGCCAAUUGCUUUUCCUUGUUUUUCUUUUCAUAAACAAUCUGUCCUUGUAGUGUGCAUGCAUGUAUAGAUUCUGUAUAUAUAAAGUAAAUACAACAAUUGUGCUUCUUUUUUCCCAUUUGUAUUGGUUAGUGGUGCAUAUGUCAAGUUGAUCUGAGUGUUUCCCCAUACUUGCUCUAAGAGCAGUAGAUUAUGCAUAUAUAAAGCAAGGGGUUUAGUCAAUGUUCGAGAGGGACAAUUAAUUUUGCAAUCAACUUCUGAUGUUCUGAUUUUAUUAGAUGUCUCCUAUGCGUCUUGUGAAGACUAUGAGCUAUUUCGAGAAUUGCUGAGAUCCUGAUUUUGAUUAAGAACUUACUCAUCUUCUUAGUAGUUUUAUCCUCUUCGAUGUUUUGCUUUAACUACUGAAUCUUGAUUAUGGGUGUAAAUUCACCAUCUCUAAUUGUAGAAUUUGCUUGGCAGAAGGUUAUCUAGCAGCCCGUUGCAAUUGUUUCUCCGUUAUAAGUUGACAUGUAACUUUGUUGGUUUAGUUUAGGGAUAAAUACUAUUUUCCAUCCUAAAAGUUUCAAUGAAAGUUUUCCUCUAAAAUUCUUCUUGCUUGUUGCUUGUUUCAUUUGAGUAUAAAUCCCUAUUGCUGCGUAAGAAACUUAUUUUCCCCCUUUCGUUUUUUCCCCUCUAUUAUAUGGAGGAUGGAAUGGUCACUACAACAUAGAGGCUCGGCACAACGCUAAUGAAAAUUAUGUGAGUUAACUUUUUUUUUUCAGGUCUAUAAAACUUAUGUUUUUCCUUAUUACAUUUGUUUUAUUUUUUGUAUCUGUAUUAUGAGUUUAUUAACAUGAUGACAUUAUACUAUUUUCUUUUAUUUUUUUUCAAUUUUUGGCAAGGAAUCGUAGCAUCCGUUACAUUCAAAUUGGUUGCAGUGGUUGGUUUUGGCGAUUUUUGUGCAAACUGGAGCAGACGGCCUUAGGAUUGGGAUCAAUACAUCAUAAUAGGAAAUCAAUUUCGGAAAUAGUUUUAUCAGAUAGGAUGGGAGGAAUUUCCAAGGACAAUCAAACGUCCUCCCGUACGUUAGACAUUUGAAAUAGCUCGACCAAAACUCAAGAAUACAAUGAAGAGAAUCUACACCUAACAAUAAAGUCUAUCCAGGAUCCACCAGCCUCAAGUUAACAUGAUUAUGACUGAGCUUACUGAUUUCAUGGAAAGCCUACAAAUGGAAACACCCUGAAGAUGGGGAAUUCAUUUGCAUCCAAGAUGUCAGCAUAUGGACUAGUGUACCUAAAGUUUCCUUUGAGGCGCAUUCUGUCAUUACACGGGUGCACCAUGUUCCUUUUGUUCAGCGUAAUAUCAUUACUAGUUCAUAUUUAGUAGGGUGGGUUAUGAGUUUUCUUUUAAAUAUAAUAAAUUAGUUCUGCUAGAUCUUUUAUUUUUCAAAGGUUAUGAUUUUAAUGGAAUGUAUAAGGCCAGAGCGGAACAUAUUUCUAGUUAUGAAUUGAAUAAAGUUUCUAUUUAUGA